rnacentral:tRNA from 1 species
AGCGGAGUAGGGAAGCUAGGAGUACCCGACGGGCUCAUAACCCGUAGAUCGGUGGUUCAAAACGCAGUUUCUCUGAAUGUCCACCCUCCGCUA